rnacentral:rRNA from 1 species
UACGUAGGCAGCAAGCGUUGUUCGGAAUUACUGGGCGUAAAGAGUGUGUAGGCGGUGUUCUAAGUUUGUCGUGAAAUCUCCCGGCUUAACUGGGAGGGUGCGGCGAAAACUGGAUUGCUAGAGGAUGGGAGAGGUAAGCGGAAUUCCUGGUGUAGCGGUUAAAUGCGUAGAUAUCAGGAGGAACACCUGUGGUGUAGACAGCUUACUGGACCAUUUCUGACGCUGAGACACGAAAGCGUGGGUAGCAAACAGG